CGGAGGGUGCAAGCGUUAUCCGGACUCACUGGGUUUAAAGGGUGCGUAGGAGGGCAGGUAAGUCAGUGGUGAAAUCUCCAAGCUUAACUUGGAAACUGCCGUUGAUACUAUCUGCCUUGAAUACCGUGGAGGUGAGCGGAAUAUGUCAUGUAGCGGUGAAAUGCUUAGAUAUGACAUAGAACACCAAUUGCGAAGGCAGCUCGCUACACGAAUAUUGACUCUGAGGCACGAAAGCGUGGGGAUCAAACAGGAUUAGAUACCCUGGUAGUCCACGCCCUAAACGAUGGAUACUCGACAUACGCGAUACACAGUGUGUGUCUGAGCGAAAGCAUUAAGUAUCCCACCUGGGAAGUACGACCGCAAGGUUG
rnacentral:rRNA from 1 species